rnacentral:rRNA from 1 species
CGCGUAAGAGCUCGUAGGCGGUUUGUCGCGUCUGCUGUGAAAGACCGGGGCUCAACUCCGGUUCUGCAGUGGGUACGGGCAGACUAGAGUGCAGUAGGGGAGACUGGAAUUCCUGGUGUAGCGGUGAAAUGCGCAGAUAUCAGGAGGAACACCGAUGGCGAAGGCAGGUCUCUGGGCUGUAACUGACGCUGAGGAGCGAAAGCAUGGGGAGCGAACAGGAUUAGAUACCCUGGUAGUCCAUGCCGUAAACGUUGGGCACUAGGUGUGGGGGACAUUCCACGUUUUCCGCGCCGUAGCUAACGCAUUAAGUGCCCCGCCUGGGGAGUACGGCCGCAAGGCUAAAACUCAAAGGAAUUGACGGGGGCCCGCACAAGCGGCGGAGCAUGCGGAUUAAUUCGAUGCAACGCGAAGAACCUUACCAAGGCUUGACAUGAACCGGUAAUACCUGGAAACAGGUGCCCCGCUUGCGGUCGGUUUACAGGUGGUGCAUGGUUGUCGUCAGCUCGUGUCGUGAGAUGUUGGGUUAAGUCCCGCAACGAGCGCAACCCUCGUUCUAUGUUGCCAGCGCGUUAUGGCGGGGACUCAUAGGAGACUGCCGGGGUCAACUCGGAGGAAGGUGGGGACGACGUCAAAUCAUCAUGCCCCUUAUGUCUUGGGCUUCACGCAUGCUACAAUGGCCGGUACAAAGGGUUGCGAUACUGUGAGGUGGAGCUAAUCCCAAAAAGCCGGUCUCAGUUCGGAUUGGGGUCUGCAACUCGACCCCAUGAAGUCGGAGUCGCUAGUAAUCGCAGAUCAGCAACGCUGCGGUGAAUACGUUCCCGGGCCUUGUACACACCGCCCGUCAGUCACGAAAGUUGGUAACACCCGAAGCCGGUGGCCUAACCCUUGUGGGGGAGCCGUCGAAGUGGGACCGGCGAUUGGACUAAGUCGUACCAAGGUAGGCC